rnacentral:rRNA from 1 species
GAUGAACGCUGGCGGCGUGCCUAAUACAUGCAAGUCGAGCGAACAGAUGAGGAGCUUGCUCCUCUGACGUUAGCGGCGGACGGGUGAGUAACACGUGGAUAACCUACCUAUAAGACUGGGAUAACUUCGGGAAACCGGAGCUAAUACCGGAUAAUAUAUUGAACCGCAUGGUUCAAUAGUGAAAGACGGUUUUGCUGUCACUUAUAGAUGGAUCCGCGCCGCAUUAGCUAGUUGGUAAGGUAACGGCUUACCAAGGCAACGAUGCGUAGCCGACCUGAGAGGGUGAUCGGGCGCGCUGGAACGGAGACACGGUCCAGACGCCGACGGGAGGCAGCAGUAGGGAAUCUUACGCAAUGGGCGAAAGCCUGACGGAGCAACGCCGCGUGAGUGAUGAAGGUCUUCGGAUCGUAAAACUCUGUUAUUAGGGAAGAACAAAUGUGUAAGUAACUAUGCACAUCUUGACGGUACCUAAUCAGAAAGCCACGGCUAACUACGUG